AUAAAAAGUCAUAUCACCCUGCAGCCCAAGACUGGUUGCCCACUGAAGCUAAGCAGGGUUGAGCCUGGUUAGUACCUGGAUGGGAGACCUCCUGGGAAAACUAGGUUGCUGUUGGAA
rnacentral:rRNA from 1 species